rnacentral:rRNA from 1 species
GGGGGAAUAUUGCACAAUGGCCGCAAGCCUGAUCCUGCCCUGCCCCGUGAGUGACGAAGGCCUUAGGGUUGUAAAGCUCUUUCACUAGGGAAGAUAAUGACGGUACCUACAAAAGAAACCCCGGCUAACUUCGUGCCAGCAGCCGCGGUAAUACGAAGGGGGCUAGCGUUGUUCGGAUUUACUGGGCCUACAGCGCACGUAGGCGGAUUGUUAAGUCACGGGUGAAAUCCCAGAGUUCAACUCUGGAACUGCCUUUGAUACUGGCAAUCUAGAGUCCGGAAUAGGUGAGUGGAACUCCUAGUGUAGAGGCUGCGAAUUCUCUACACAUUAGGAAGAACACCAGCUGGCCAAUGCUCCCUCACUGGUCCGGUACUGACUGCUCAGGUGACCAACUUCUUGGAGAGCAAACCUCAAUUAUUUACCCUUGGUAUCCAC